UACAGAGGGUGCGAGCGUUAAUCGGAAUUACUGGGCGUAAAGGGCGCGUAGGCGGUUAUGUAAGUUAGAUGUGAAAUCCCUGGGCUUAACCUAGGAACUGCAUCUAAUACUGUGUAACUGGAGUGCGGUAGAGGGUAGUGGAAUUUCCGGUGUAGCGGUGAAAUGCGUAGAUAUCGGAAGGAACACCAGUGGCGAAGGCGGCUACCUGGACUGACACUGACGCUGAGGCGCGAGAGCGUGGGGAGCAAACAGG
rnacentral:rRNA from 1 species